UACGGGGGGGGGCAAGCGUUGUUCGGAAUUACUGGGCGUAAAGGGCUCGUAGGCGGCCAACUAAGUCAGACGUGAAAUCCCUCGGCUUAACCGGGGAACUGCAUCUGAUACUGGAUGGCUUGAGUUCGGGAGAGGGAUGCGGAAUUCCAGGUGUAGCGGUGAAAUGCGUAGAUAUCUGGAGGAACACCGAUGGCGAAGGCAGCCUCCUGGGCCAACACUGACGCUCAUGCACGAAAGCGUGGGGGAGCAAACAGG
rnacentral:rRNA from 1 species